rnacentral:rRNA from 1 species
GACGAACGCUGGCGGCGUGCCUAACACAUGCAAGUCGAACGGGGUUAAUAUGGAAGUUCCUUCGGGAACGGAAGUAUUAACUUAGUGGCGAACGGGUGAGUAACGCCGUGAGCAACCUGCCUUACAGAGGGGGACAACAUUGGGAAACCGAUGCUAAUACCGCAUAACAUAUAUUUGUGGCAUCACAGAUAUAUCAAAGGAGCAAUCCGCUGUAAGAUGGGCUCGCGUCUGAUUAGAUAGUUGGUGAGGUAACGGCUCACCAAGUCGACGAUCAGUAGCCGGACUGAGAGGUCGAACGGCCACAUUGGGACUGAGACACGGCCCAGGACUCCUACGGGAGGCAGCAGUGAGGGAUAUUGGUCAAUGGGGGAAACCCUGAACCAGCGACGCCGCGUGAGGGAAGACGGUUUCGGAUUGUAAACCGUCUGUCUUUGGGGACGAAUAAAUGACGGUACCCAAGGAGGAAGGCCACGGCUAACUACGUG